GACGAACUGUCCAAACGUUGUUCGGAAUCACUGGGCUUAAAGGGCGCGUAGGCGGUCGGCCAAGUCAGGGGUGAAAUCCUGCAGCUUAACUGUAGAAGUGCCUUUGAUACUGGUCGUCUCGAGGGAGGUAGGGGUGUGUGGAACUCACAGUGGAGCGGUGAAAUGCGUUGAUAUCGGGAGGAACACCUAUGGCGAAGGCAGCUCGCUGGGACGUUACUGACGCUGAGACGCGAAAGCGUGGGGAGCAAACAGG
rnacentral:rRNA from 1 species